AGCAGCCGCGGUAAUUCCAGCUCCAAUAGCGUAUAUUAAAGUUGUUGCAGUUAAAAAGCUCGUAGUUGAAUUUCGGGAUCGACGGGUCGGUCGCGCCUCCGGUGUGUACUGGCCCUGUCGGUUUCUCCCUUCUGACGAACCACGAUGUCAUUAAUUUGAUGUCGUGAGGAAUCAGGACUGUUACUUUGAAAAAAUUAGAGUGUUUAAAGCAGGCAUUCGCUUGAAUACAUUAGCAUGGAAUAAUGAAAUAGGACGUUUGAUCUUAUUUUGUUGGUUUCUAAGAUCGACGUAAUGAUUAAUAGGGAUAGUUGGGGGCAUUAGUAUUCAAUUGUCAGAGGUGAAAUUCUUGGAUUUAUUGAAGACUAACUACUGCGAAAGCAUUUGCCAAGGAUGUUUUCAUUAAUCAAGAACGAAAGUUAGGGGAUCGAAGACGAUCAGAUACCGUCGUAGUCUUAACCAUAAACUAUGCCGACUAGGGACCGGAUGAUGUUAAUUUUUAAUGACUCAUUCGGCGCCUUAA
rnacentral:rRNA from 1 species